rnacentral:rRNA from 1 species
UCGAACGCGAAAGUCCCCUUCGGGGGGGCAAGUAGAGUGGCGCACGGGUGAGUAAACACGUAGGUAAUCUACCUUUGGAUGGGGAAUAACAAACCGGAAAAACGGUUGCUAAUACCGCAUAAUGCAGCGGCCAACCUAAUGGUGGACAGUUUGUUUAAAGCGGGGGAUUCGCAAGACCUCGCGUCUGAAGAGGAGCCUGCGGCGGAUUAGCUAGUUGGUAGGGGUAAACGGCUUACCAAGGCGAUGAUCCGUAGCCGGCCCUGAGAGGGCGGUCGGCCACACUGAACACUGACAUACGGCCCAGACUCCUACGGGGAGGGCAGCAGUGGGGAAUAUUGGACAAUGGGGGAAAACCCUGAUCCAGCAAUGCCGCGUGUGUGAAGAAGGCCUUCGGGUUGUAAAGCACUUUAGGCGGGGGAAGAAGAUUUUGGUUGUAGAGCCAAGUUUGACGGUACCCGCAGAAUAAGCACCGGCUAACUCUGUGCCAGCAGCCGCGGUAAUACAGAGGGUGCGAGCGUUUAAUCGGAAUUACUGAGCGUAAAGGGCGCGUAGGCGGAAGAUUAAGUGAGAUGUGAAAUCCCCGGGCUUAACCUGGGAACUGCAUCUUAAAACUGAUUUUCUAGAGUAUUGUAGAGGAUAGUGGGAAUUUCCGGUGUGUAGCGGUGAAAUGCGUAAGAGAUCGGAAGGAAACAUCAGUGGCGAAGGCGGCUAUCUGGACCAAAAUACUGGACGCUGAGGCGCGAAAAGCGUGGGGAGCAAAACAGGAUUAGAUUACCCUGGUAGGUCCACGCCCGUAAAACGAUGGGCACUAGGUGCUUGGGGGGGAGCGACCCUCUGAGUGCCGGCGCUAACGCAUUAAGUGCCCCGCCUGGGGGAGUACGGCCGCAAGGCUUGAAAACUCAAAGGAAUUGACGGGGGCCCGCACAAGCGGUGGAGCAAUGUGGUUUAAUUCGACGCAACGCGAAGAAAACCUUACCUAGGCUUUGACAUGCUGGUGAAACUCUCCAGAAAAACGGAGGGCCUCCUUCGGGACACCAGCACAGGUGCUGCAUGGCUGUCGUCAAGCUCGUGUCGUGAGAUUGUUUGGGUUAAGUCCCGCAACGAAGCGCAACCCCCGUUCCCAGUUGCUAACGGGUAAAGCCGAGGACUCUGGGGAAGGACUGCCGGGUGCCAAAACCGGAGGGAAGGUGGGGACGACGUCCAAGUUCCAUCAUGGUCCUUACGUCUAGGGCUACACACGUGCUACAAUGGUCGGUACAGAGGGUUUGCGAGCUAGCGAUUAGUAAAGCCAAUCCCAGAAAGCCGGCCUCAGUGCGGAUUGGAGGCUGCAAACUCGCCCUCCAUGAAGCUGGAAAUCGCUAGUAAUCGUGGAUCAAGCUACGCCACGGUGAAUACGUUUCCCGGGCCUUGUACACACCCGCCCGUCACGCCAUGGAAGCUGUGAGCGCCCCGAAAGUCCGUGUCGGAACCCGCCAAGGGGCCAAGCGGCCGAAGGCGAGCGCAGUGACUGGGGCG